ACAGCUGCUUUGACGAAAUUCGGCUGGGAGUUGUUUGAUCAUCCACCCUACAACUCUGGUAUUGCUCUCAGCGAUUUUCACGUUUUCUUGCACCUCAAGAAAUUCCUGUCAUCCGGUGAGCAUUUUGGCAAGGAAGAGCUGAAGACAUCUGCAACAUGCUGGUUCCAUUCACAGGCGGCAGAGUACUACAACAGAGGGAUACAAAAGUUGAUCCCACGAUACGACAAGUGUCUCAAAUCUGGUGGUGGCUAUGCUGAAAAAUAACUGAAACAUUACUGUACUUGUUGCCAAUAAAUAUGUUCCUGAAAUUUCAGGAAUUCAGAGGAUUGAUAAGUAUAUCCCGCUAAACAAGACAGAAAUGCCAAUAGAAGAGCGUAUUUCUUGGUUUUACUCUCAGCCAUAAGAAUCUGUGGAACGCCACUCAACAUCGAAUCCCGAAAGGCAUUCGUCAAAUAAUCGGACCAAGAUUUGUUUUCUCUAUUUUCAACAUUCCUGAAAGGAAAUGGAGUCAAAAAUAUAUGAUUGUUAACAACAAAAAGGUUUUAAGAUCAAAAUUAUAAUAAAGACAGAAUUUUUUUGAAUAAAAAAAAUAAUAAUAAAGGCUUUGUAUUACGAGA